rnacentral:rRNA from 1 species
AUGAGUGCCUGGUGCUCGUCUCAAGGGAGAAAUGGAAUGAGAACAGUAAUUCCCAGCUUCCUAACUUGGGUGUCAGCCAGAGCCAAGAGCAGAACACCCAAGAACACUGAUCUUGUGAGAGUAGAGCAGUACUACUUCGUGGUCUCUCAAAAAUAUUUGCAACUCUCCUCCUUCAAUGAAGCUUUUGCCACUAUUUCAAUAAGGAUUGCACUGUUUCUUUAUUUGUCUAGGCUGGAGUAUCCCCUGUUCCCGAAAACAAAAAAUUUGACUUAUGACCAAAGGGAUAACAUAAACUGUAGCCAUCAGGGGCAACACAACACCAAAUAA